GACGAACGCUGGCGGCGUGCUUAACACAUGCAAGUCGAACGGAAAGGCCCUGCUUUUGUGGGGUGCUCGAGUGGCGAACGGGUGAGUAACACGUGAGUAACCUGCCCUUGACUUUGGGAUAACUUCAGGAAACUGGGGCUAAUACCGGAUAGGAGCUCCUGCUGCAUGGUGGGGGUGGGAAAGUUUCGGCGGUUGGGGAUGUACUCGCGGCUUAUCAGCUUGUUGGUGGGGUAGUGGCUUACCAAGGCUUUGACGGGUAGCCGGCCUGAGAGGGUGACCGGCCACAUUGGGACUGAGAUACGGCCCAGACUCCUACGGGAGGCAGCAGUGGGGAAUAUUGCACAAUGGGCGGAAGCCUGAUGCAGCAACGCCGCGUGCGGGAUGACGGCCUUCGGGUUGUAAACCGCUUUCGCCUGUGACGAAGCGUGAGUGACGGUAAUGGGUAAAGAAGCACCGGCUAACUACGUG
rnacentral:rRNA from 1 species